rnacentral:rRNA from 1 species
ACGGACGCUGGCGGCGUGCUUAACACAUGCAAGUCGAACGGAAAGGCCUGUCCUUCCUUGUGUUGGACGGGUACUCGAGUGGCGAACGGGUGAGUAACACGUGAGUGAUCUGCCCCCAACUUGGGUAUAAGCCUGGGAAACUGGGUCUAAUUCCCGAUAGGACUGCAGGGUGGUGCCUGUGGUGGAAAACGAUUUUCUAGUGGUUGGGGAUGAGCUCGCGGCCUAUCAGCUUGUUGGUGGGGUAAUGGCCUACCAAGGCGGCGACGGGUAGCCGGCCUGAGAGGGUGGACGGCCACAUUGGGACUGAGAUACGGCUCAGACUCCUACGGGAGGCAGCAGUGGGGAAUAUUGCACAAUGGGCGGAAGCCUGAUGCAGCGACGCCGCGUGGGGGAUGACGGCCUUCGGGUUGUAAACUCCUUUCGACCGCGAGGAAGCCGCCUGGUUGGAAGGGUGGUGACGGUAGUGGUAGAAGAAGCACCGGCUAACUACGUG